UCCAGACUCCUACGGGAGGCAGCAGUGGGGAAUAUUGCACAAUGGGGGGAACCCUGAUGCAGCGACGCCGCGUGGGCGAGGAAGUAUUUCGGUAUGUAAAGCCCUAUCGGCAGGGAAGAAGAAAUGACGGUACCUGAAUAAGAAGCACCGGCUAAAUACGUGCCAGCAGCCGCGGUAAUACGUAGGGGGCAAGCGUUAUCCGGAUUUACUGGGUGUAAAGGGAGCGUAGACGGUAUGGCAAGUCUGAUGUGAAAACCCGGGGCUCAACCUCGGGACUGCAUUGGAAACUGUCGGACUAGAGUGUCGGAGAGGCAAGUGGAAUUCCUAGUGUAGCGGUGAAAUGCGUAGAUAUUAGGAGGAACGCCAGUGGCGAAGGCGGCUUGCUGGACGAUGACUGACGUUGAGGCUCGAAAGCGUGGGGGGCAAACAGGAUUAGAUACCCGGGUAAAG
rnacentral:rRNA from 1 species